rnacentral:lncRNA from 1 species
UGAAACAGAGAACUUAGAAAGGAAAAUUUGAAAGCCAGAGUCGUGUGACCCAGUAUGGGACAGAUUCCUGCUGAGAUUUCUUAUGGCAAUUAACAGCCAAAAGUUACACCUUUUGUGUAAUUGUGCGACAGGAUUUCAGCUAAUAUGUGAGAAAGCUUCUAAGAAGAUGGCGAUGUUACACGGUUUGCAUGGUAUAAGUUAUGCCAGCUGGAUUCCAGGCAAUGUAGAGGGGACACACAGAGAGAGAUAGAGAAGGAAGUGGUCUUAUGCUGUUGGAAAUUAUUGAAGCUUCUUAUGGAAGAGAAAGUUAAGGCAAGCAAGAAGAACAUCUUGCACCUGGUCUUAUUUUCGUAAACCAUUUCCAAGAGAUGGCCUCUUUCCUCAAAUGGAUUAUGGGAUAUUUUGUGAACGGCAGCUUGCUGGGCUGUCAGAGAUGACUCUCGAGUACAGCUGCUCCCCAGCUGCCCAGCACCACGGCUCAAUACAGCCUCUGUUAAGAUGUCAAAAAUGUUGACCAUAUAUUUUUACCUCAACUUUUAGAUGGCAUGGAAAAAAGACACUGAAAUUAAAAUUAGAAGGCUGCUUUGAUACUAGAUAGUUGUUUCUGCCCACUGCAGGAAAGUGGUUCUUGAUUUGUAGGGUUGCUUUGCAAUCAGUGGGGGUGCGGUGGGGGACAACCUGGAUGUGAAACCAUCAAAAGCCAGAGCUUCAAGAGGAGGGUUUGCAGAAGUUGUUCAAAGUUGGGGAUAAGGGAAGAAAAAGAGAAUAACAGAAAGAAGUGAACCUCAGUAUCUGAAGUUACAUCAAGAUUUGGUUCUCGUUCCUCAGCAUUAGACACAAACUCUGGGUUCCCUAAUCAUGAUUUUGCCACUAAAUACAAGAUUUGCAGUCACUGAAACCAUCUCCUUUGCUCAAUUCAAAUCUGACAGCAUGAUUUAGACAUUUAGUGUUUUAAUUCUGACUCUCUAUAGUUGCUCUUGUGCUUUCAUCUGUCUUGGCUGGCUUUUCCAUGUCACGGUCCUUCUGUAAGUUCUAUAAAAGGAGGGAAGUAAUACCAGGCAUCUAUGGCUGCAGAGUUUAGAAUCUCAGCUAAGACUCCCUUCUGCUAUGCCAUAGAAGUAUUUACUGAGUUCACUGUGGGCCCUUCUUAAAGCCUCUCGUUCAUGGGCACAGAG